UAAGUCGCAUAAAUGUUUGCUCCGUCUUAAUAAUUACAUUUGGAUCAUUUUCAGGCCCAAGUUUGAACUAUAAACCACACAAAAGGUUACUCAUUUUGUCUGUUAAGUCCUAGUUGUGUUAUUCGAGUCAAAUAUGUAUUAUUUGUGACUAUACGAUGAACAGUGUGUUAACUGGCCUGAUUGUAAUCUCCAAACUUCUGUUUAUUUCAUUUAAGACGUUGUAUGCGACAUCGAUGUGCUAUAUGCUGUAUGCUGAUAAGCCAUUUGGUCCUGUUUUCCCAGUCUUCUUGUCGCAGAUACAGUAAAGCAACCCUGAGUGACCAUC